CUUCACUGAAGAUUACAAGACCAGCGAAGCAUGGGCAUCGAAAAUGCUAUAAAUUAUUUCCAAAAUCAGCGUUUUUAUCAGCCGAAGAGAAAGAUAAAUUAUUAGGCGAUAAUUUUUAACUGAUUUUUCUAAAGAAAGGCCGAAGGAAUGGCUUUAGUAUCGGAAAGGACCUGCUAAAGAUGGAUGUGCUUGGUCGACAGCUUCGAAACCCGCACUAGCUCAAAGGAUUAUAAGCUACAUCAAUGAGCUGACGAUUUUCGUGAAAAGUGGCAGCACUUGGCAUGUAAACAAUUGAACAGAGCGAA